AACUGCGAGUGAAGCGGGAAAAGCUCAAAUUUAAAAUCUAAUGGCCUUUGGCCAUUCGAGUUGUAAUUUAGAGAAGCGUCUUCCGCGCCAGACCAUGUACAAGUCUCCUGGAACGGAGCGUCAUAGAGGGUGAGAAUCCCGUCUUUGACAUGGAYCCUCGGUGCUUCUGUGAUGCGCUCUCAAAGAGUCGAGUUGUUUGGGAAUGCAGCUCAAAAUGGGUGGUGAACUCCAUCUAAGGCUAAAUAUUGGCGAGAGACCGAUAGCGAACAAGUACCGUGAGGGAAAGAUGAAAAGCACUUUGGAAAGAGAGUGAAACAGUACGUGAAAUUGUUGAAAGGGAAACACUUGAAGUCAGUCGCGUCGAUCGAGACUCAGCCUUGCCUCGGCUUGGUGUACUUCUCGACUUGACGGGCCAGCAUCAAUUUCGUCCCUCGGAUAAUGGCAAGUGAAAGGUGGCACCUUUUUUAAGGUGUGUUAUAGUCUCUUGUCGCAUGCGAGGGGGUGGGAUUGAGGAACUCAGCACGCGCCUCGCGGCGUCGGGGCUUCGGCCC
rnacentral:rRNA from 1 species